rnacentral:rRNA from 1 species
UGCGUAGGGGGCGAGCGUUGUCCGGAAUGAUUGGGCGUAAAGGGCACGUAGGCGGCUUGUUAAGUCUGGAGUGGAAGUCCUCUUUUUAAGGGAGGAAUUGCUUUGGAAACUGGCGAGCUUGAGUGCAGGAGAGGUUAUCGGAAUUCCCGGUGUAGCGGUGAAAUGCGUAGAGAUCGGGAGGAACACCAGUGGCGAAGGCGGCUAACCGGACUGUAACUGACGCUGAGGCGCGAAAGUGUGGGGAGCAAACAGGAUUAGAUACCCCGGUAGUCCCUGAGCGGG